UUAAAACUACUGACUGGUCCUUUAACCUGUGAGCGGUGUGUUGAGCCUCUUCGGGACAUAUUCCUUCCCAAUAUGCUGGGAAAGUUGUCGACCUCUGGUGUCAAAACUUCGCCAAGAAGUUUUUCCUCUUACGACUUGACACGGCUGCCACGUAGCUCAGACUUCCAGGGAAGGGCCAGAAGUCUUCAGGAGCAUCUCUUUUUUAUCACCUCCGCUGUUUACGAGGAUGUCUUCCAAGAAAUGAAUCCUGUCCUUCACAGCCUGACUGAAAUGUCAAUGUAACAGGACAGAAGCAAUGGGUAGUUCCAUCCUCCUGUUGGCCAGUGUGGUGUCCAGUCUGGGCGGCCUGGUCUUUGGUUAUGAGUUGGGCAUCAUCUCAGGUGCUUUGCUGCAGCUCAAAGCAGAGUUCAGACUCACAUGUGUCCAGCAGGAGGCUCUGGUCAGCUCUUUGUUGAUAGGAGCUCUGCUGGCCUCCAUCGUGGGCGGCUGCUUGAUCGACCAUCGGGGCCGCAGGAACUCCAUCCUCCUCAGCAAUGUCUUGAUCCUGAUCGGCAGCCUGGUCCUGCUCAUCAACUCCUUCUCUGCACUGGUGGUGGGCAGGAUGACACUGGGCUUCGCCAUGUGUAUAUCCUCCAUGUCCUGCUGCAUCUUUGUGUCCGAGAUGGUUACCCCAGACCGAAGGGGCUUUCUGGUAACACUGUAUGAAGCUGGAAUCACUGUGGGCAUCCUGGCAGCUUAUGCUAUGAACUACAUCCUGGCUGACUCCAAAAGAGGGUGGAAGUGGAUGUUUGGAUUAGCCAUAGUACCGACUGUGAUUCAGCUGGUCUCUAUCUGGUUUCUUCCAUCCAGCUCGAAGGAAUCUUUAAGCCAAAAAUAUUGCUUUCAAACUGAAAGCGACCAAAUAAGUACUGUCGGAAACCAAGAAGCAGAUGACUCAGAAGUCAGCUCCAGCAUGGAAAGCAGGAAGGUUCAGUUCAACAGCAUUUAUCUUAUCCAGCGUAAAGACAACAUGAGGACUCGGACUGUCAUUGGCCUCGGACUGGUGCUCUUUCAGCAGUUCACAGGCCAGCCCAAUGUUCUCCUCUACGCUUCCACUAUCUUCCACUCGGUGGGGUUUCAGAGCAAUGCCUCGGCAGUGCUGGCGUCUGUUGGCUUGGGGUUAGUCAAAGUAAUCGCUACUCUGACCUCCAUGGUGUUUUCAGACAGGGUGGGCAGGAGGCCUUUGCUCAUCAAUGGGUGCUCUGUUAUGGCGCUGUGUCUGAUAACCAUUGGACUCCUCAGUGGGCAUUCAUUGAUGAAUGCUAAGAUGCCUUGUAAUUCUGAGGACCUUAACGUUAACCGAACAGAUGUACCUCAUUUAAAUGUUGGUAAUCGCUCAGUUUUUGACAUGCCUGAGAGCCAAAGACUCCUUAAUACCAACACACAGGAUCAAGAUGUAGUACUUGAUCAAGUUAGACAGAAACCACCGGACACUCCUCUGGCAUCUCCUCCUAGCGCCCAUGGCACAGUUGUGAACUGGAUCAUUCUUGUGUGUAUGAUGGCUGUCGUCAGUGCAUACUCCGUUGGAUUUGGACCAAGUUUGUAUAUUCACUCAAAAUUGACCUGGCUUCUCCUGAGUGAAAUAUUUCCACCCGCUGUCAGAGGAAGGGCAUUCGCAUUCACCAGCUGCUUCAACUGGGCUGCCAACCUGUUGGUCACAUUCACAUUCUUGAAUUGUAUUGAUGUGAUCGGUCUGUCUGGGAUGUUUCUUUUGUAUGGGAUGGCUGCUGUGGCAGCUGCGGCCUUCUUCUUCUUCAUGCUACCAGAGACCAAAGGGAAGACUCUGGAGCAGAUAGACAAGGAACUGCGUUCAAACAAGUUUAAUCAUAGCGAGGAGUGCUGUUGCAUCAUCAGCUGGAGAAACACUUCCCCACAGUACCAAAGAGUGCACUGUCAAGUUAGCCCCUCAGGGUGAUUAAUACUGACAGGCACUGACGUAAAAAAAAAACAUGAUGGUUUUAAACUCAUAUCAUACCAGCUAUCAAACUGGCUCUUUUUGGCAUUGAAACAUGUUUACAACAUAGAUAGACCUCCUUGUUUAACUUCACUGCAGUGUCACAAAGCUGAAAGCUAUUGUAAAUGACAUGUUGGGUGUGUUCAUUUACAUUUUUUGCUUACUACCAAUUCAGUUUACACUAUUACCUGUGAUCAUCAUCAUCAUCAUCAUUUGACCACUCUAGUUUGGGUCUCCUUCAGCAAUAAAAUUAAUAAA